ensembl:lncRNA novel transcript
CACUCUUUGGGUCCGCACUGCCUUUAUGAGCUGUAACACUCAAACUGCGAAGGUCUGUGGCUUCACUCCUGAAGUCAGUGAGACCAUGAACCCACCAGCAGGAAGAAAUUGGACACAUCUGAAGAAACAAACUCCAGACACACCAUCUUUAAGAGCUGUAACACUCACUGCAAAAGUCCGCGACUUCAUUCUUGAAGUCAGCGAGACCAAGAACCCACAGGAAGGAAUAAAUUCCAGACACACUACUACUGUCCCUGUUCAUUAAUCUAUUUAUUCGGCAAGAAAAUAUUGAUAACAGGCACUGUCCUGUGUACUAGAGAUGGACAGAAUCAUGACUUUUGGCUUCAGGGCCUCACAGUUCAGUUGGAGAGAGCAACAUGGCACCAGUUGAUUCCAGGGCAACACAAUUAGUGACAUAACAGAGACAGAUGAAAGGGAUUGCAGAAGCAGAGAGAGCAUCCUGACUAAUUGAAUCUGCAAAUGGUGAAGAAGCCCUUCCAGGGGUGAUGCUGUGAGCUGAAUUGUGUAUUAGUAGGAAUUUCUCGGUUCAACACACAGAGAAAUAACAAGUUUUCUGUUGUAAACUAUUCCUUACUAAUUAAAAACAAAGUGGUUAUAUUCUUGACCUGACUCUGAAUUUAAUUUUUUAAGAAUGUAAUCAUAAGUGAAGCAACUUUAAAUAUAGCAUUAUAGGGCACAGUAUUGAUAAAUGAGAGGAAAACUUUUUCUUAAAGAGUGUACCACUCACUUACCAUGCCCUGAAAUUAACUGAGAACUCAUUUGUCAAGAGAGCACCUACCCUAUAGAGAAUUCUUCCAAUUAACAUCAAAAGCGAUCAUUCUUAACCUCUCAUGCAUUAAGAAAAUCUUGUCUGCACCCAAUGUUCUGUUCAUAAUCAAUGAAGCCCCUUAUGUAUGUUAUUGCAAAUUUAUCACCUUGUAUAUUACUAAAAUGGAUGAAUUAAUAAAUGAAUCUGCUGUA